GGGGGCAGGAAACAGCAUAUUCCUCUCCUCUUGACAGGGCAGGGAAGAUCAGACCAUGUCUGCAUCCCUCAGAUCUUCAGCUGCCUUUGUCUACAGCUAAAUCUCUCAAUGAAAAUAGCCAUGGCCAAAUUUUCAGGACUGAUAUUGUGUCAGCCAUCAAAUUCCAGUAAGUCUGCUCAGCACUAAGCAAUUGUUUGGGAACAUUAAAUACAUGGUUUUUAGUAGAACAUGACAGAACCAGCUAUUUAUGAAAAUUAAAAAAUAAUUUCUUUUUUAUGUAGCCAAUUGAAUCCACUUUCUAUACAGUAAAAUUUAAUGUUAUUAACUUAAUUUGGUCUCAGAAUUUGGGAAUCUUGGUUUUUUCUUCUAUCUUAAACACAGUCUGUCUCUCAAAUGGAAAUAGCUUUAGUUUUUUGCUUAUAAGAAUAACCCAUGCUGAGGGGAGUAAAUUAAAUAAAACUGAAAAAAAAAUUAUUUAGAAGAAAAUAAAAUCCCUAUUUCAACUACCCUGCUUUCCUACCUGACAAUCCACCCUACACUUAUUAUGUGAAGGUAUGCAGGACAGGAGGUAAGAGCAGUGGCUGAGCGGAGAAGUAGAUUGAGGGGAUAGGUGCUUUGAGAUCAAAGGUGAGAAAGAAAAACAUUUCUGAGAACGUACCAAUGACCAGUAAUCCCAGGAAAAGGUGCAGCACCUCCCUGAUAAGACAGAACAAAUACAUACCACAGGGAGAAGGGGCCACAUUUGACCUUUGCUAUUUGCAAAAACCAAAAUGAGUGACAGAGCCUCAGGCAGUGAGGGGAGAGGGCGGAAGGGGGGCGAGGCGGAAGGGGGCUAGUGAAGGGAAGAAGUGGGCUGGCUCCUGACGCACUUUCUACCGGCGGGAGGGGAACUAGGGACCCGAGCCCACUGGUGACGUUUCCCUCACGUGAUCAGGAGCCGACGUGUGCACAAGUCCCUCUCCUCCAGGUACCAGCUCCGUAUUUCCGUGGAGGAAGAUAGAUUUCGGACUGAGAGACUGAGGGGGCAACUGCCCUAUAGCCCUGCAGGUCUUCGGGUCUGUGGUUGUAGGCACCAACCCAGACAAGAAAAGGAAAGACCUGCAGGAUCAGCGCAGGACAGGCAAAGGAGGGAAAAUUUCAACAUGGAAAGGGUCGACAAAGAAAAUGAAGGAA
rnacentral:lncRNA from 1 species